rnacentral:rRNA from 1 species
UACGAGGGGGGCAAGCGUUAUUCGGAAUUACUGGGCGUAAAGCGCACGUAGGCGGCUUUGUAAGUUAGAGGUGAAAGCCUGGAGCUCAACUCCAGAAUUGCCUUUAAGACUGCAUCGCUUGAAUCCAGGAGAGGUGAGUGGAAUUCCGAGUGUAGAGGUGAAAUUCGUAGAUAUUCGGAAGAACACCAGUGGCGAAGGCGGCUCACUGGACUGGUAUUGACGCUGAGGUGCGAAAGCGUGGGGAGCAAACAGG